UACGUAGGGUGCAAGCGUUGUCCGGAAUUAUUGGGCGUAAAGGGCUCGUAGGCGGUCCAUCGCGUCGGGAGUGAAAAGCUGGGGCUCAACCCCAGUCCUGCUUCCGAUACGGGUGGACUAGAGGUAUGCAGGGGAGAACGGAAUUCCUGGUGUAGCGGUGAAAUGCGCAGAUAUCAGGAGGAACACCGGUGGCGAAGGCGGGUCUCUGGACAGUUCCUGACGCUGAGGCACGAAGGUCAGGGGAGCAAACGGG
rnacentral:rRNA from 1 species